rnacentral:lncRNA from 1 species
GGGGUACCAAUAAGAAAUAAAAGAAGAAUAUUCCACUUACUUAGCUUAAGAACUGUCCACAUGUGAUUUAACUUUUAUUCUUUGAUGUCAUCCCAUGAUGAUACUCCCAAUGGACACACAUUAUGAUCAUGAACAAAUUUUUUGAAGUGCCUCUUAAAGAGAGUGGUAUUUUUUCAAACACUUUGAUUAUUGUAAAAUGUUAUAGU